GCCUCCUUGGCACAGUUGGUAGUGCGUUGGUCUCAUAGUUAACCUAUGACUGCUGUAUUAGUGGGUUAUCCAAAAGUCGCAAGUUCGAGCCUUGCAGGGGGCA